GACGAACGCUGGCGGCGUGCUUAACACAUGCAAGUCGAGCGGUAAGGCCCUUUCGGGGGUACACGAGCGGCGAACGGGUGAGUAACACGUGGGUGACCUGCCCUCAGCUCUGGGAUAAGCCUGGGAAACCGGUCGUAUACUCGGAUAUGACUCCAUGACGCAUGUUGUGGGGUGGAAAGCCUUGUGCGGCUGAGGAUGGGCCCGCGGCCUAUCAGCUUGUUGGUGGGGUGANGGCCUACCAAGGCGACGACGGGUAGCCGGCCUGAGAGGGCGACCGGCCACACUGGGACUGGA
rnacentral:rRNA from 1 species